rnacentral:tRNA from 1 species
GCUGGAGUGGCAGAGUCAGGAAAUUGCAG